CCUGGACACUGGGAGUUCAGCACACAUCAACAGCACUCAUCUGAGCACAUCUGCAACAUUCCUGCUUUUUUGUUUGAAGUUGACUGUCAGUAGAGCAACUUUACAGUAAUGCAGCAACAAUAUCAGAGCAAAAUAAAACUGCAAUUCAUGAUAAACAGCUACAUAUCUCCUAAGCAGGACUCAGGAAUACAAAGGCCCUUUGUGGUUCAUCUGUGGAUGCUGUGCUCUGCCCAUGCACUCCCACCUGCCCAGACCAACCAGCGUACAAGAGCAACAGACCAGGGCAACAACCCUGCCCCUGCAGAGAGAGCACACAGCACAAGGUGCUCCAGGAGAACAGAGCAGCAAGAUACCUUUGCUGACUAGCAAAGGUUUCUGCAGCAAAUUGUAAAUCAGCAAGUGAUAUGCA